rnacentral:lncRNA from 10 species
AAAAUCUGGUUCCAGGAACAUCUAUUUUAAAGUCACUGAGGAUGCUUAUCAAAAGGAUGAUUCCAUCUCACAAUCAUAGAGUAUGGUCAUAGGUCACAUGGGAAGCAAGUAGAGGAAAUGGUUAUUGGAAACCACCGGAAGUUCCUGAAAAUAGCUAUCCAACAGGAGCUAUAGCCUUGGGCAAACACACACAGCCAAUGGCCAAUGGAGAGAGAACAGAGAAACACUCUAACCUCUCUUUCUUUCCAUACUCCAAUCUUCUGAUGCUCCCACCCAUUGGCCAAUUCCAACCAAAAGCUGACAAAACAGGGAGCAUGGUUUACACAAUCCAUAGAGGACAACCUUCUAGAACAGAGAGCAAGAUAUAAGUGGAGAGUAAAUCUGGAGAGGAAAAUUGAGAGUAUCCAGCAAAAACAUGUCAUGAAUUUCUACGCAUCAAGUUCUAAUCCUUAUGUUGAAAUUGCCAGCUGUGAAUGAGCUGAAUGAGACCACGUCCAUGAAUGUUUCUUUUUCACUACCAUGGAACCCACAAAUCAAAGGGUCAUGAGGAAACAGUGGAGGAACCCAGGUUGAGGGACACCAUAAAGAUUGAAAGGCCUCUAUUCUACAAAAUCUUCAAGUCAUGAAAAACUGAGACAGCCUGAGAAACUGUUUAAAGGAGAUGUAAGAUAUAACCACCAUACAGACCAAGGAUCGGAAAGACAAGUUUGAGUUUGCAAGAUGCCUUUGCUCAAAAAUAUCUUUUCUCACGGUUAACAGUCAUAACUGAUAGAGACAGGAGGCAGCCAAGGGUUCCCAGUGAAACCCUGCCUUCAAGCAUAAAAAAGCCUGAAGGCUGAAAACUCAGACUGCUGGUCCCAGAUGAAGCUGGCCCUUUCCCAACUGUUUCUGUAUAAUGACCACCUGAGCACUCCUGGACAGAGUGGAACCUCGGGAAGCUCUCACUGUUUGCAGAGGGGAGGAGCCUGGCCUCUCCUGUUCCUGUGUGGUGACCUGGGAUUCAAACUGCCAGCAGGAUUCUCUCUCACUUGGCUGAGAGUUAUUUUUCCUUUUUCCUUUU